AUUGAACGCUGGCGGCAUGCUUUACACAUGCAAGUCGAACGGUAACAGCACUUCGGUGGCUGACGAGUGGCGAACGGGUGAGUAAUACAUCGGAACGUGCCUAGUAGUGGGGGAUAACUACUCGAAAGAGUAGCUAAUACCGCAUGAGAUCUAAGGAUGAGAGCAGGGGACCUUCGGGCCUUGCGCUACUAGAGCGGCUGAUGGCAGAUUAGGUAGUUGGUGGGAUAAAAGCUUACCAAGCCGACGAUCUGUAGCUGGUCUGAGAGGACGACCAGCCACACUGGGACUGAGACACGGCCCAGACUCCUACGGGAGGCAGCAGUGGGGAAUUUUGGACAAUGGGCGCAAGCCUGAUCCAGCAAUGCCGCGUGCAGGAUGAAGGCCUUCGGGUUGUAAACUGCUUUUGUACGGAACGAAAAGCCCUCUUCUAAUACAGGAGGGUCAUGACGGUACCGUAAGAAUAAGCACCGGCUAACUACGUG
rnacentral:rRNA from 1 species